rnacentral:rRNA from 1 species
AUUGAACGCUAGCGGGAGGCCUUACACAUGCAAGUCGAACGGCAGCGGGGAGCACCUUGCUGCUUCGCUGACCAGAGGCGGACGGAAUGGUAAUGUCCGGGCAGCUGCCUGGUGGAGAAGGAUGACUACUCGUAACGGUUGCUGAUACCGCCUAAUGUGGGAAGACCGAAGAGGGUGACCCUCGGGACUCUUGCCAUCGGAUGUGCCCAGAUGGGAUUAGCUUGUUGGUGGGGUAACGGCUCACCAAGGCGACGAUCCGUAGCUGGUUUGAGAGGACGACCAGCCACACUGGAACUGAGACACGGCCCAGACUCCUACGGGAGGCAGCAGUGGGGAAUAUUGGACAAUGGGGGCAAGCCUGAUCCAGCCAUGCCGCGUGUAUGAAGAAGGCCUUCGGGUUGUAAAGUACUUUUGGCGGGGAGGAAGGGUGGCGAGCUAAUACCCCGGGGCACUGACGUUACCUGCAGAAUAAGCACCGGCUAACUCCGUG